rnacentral:RNase_P_RNA from 1 species
GUCAGUUGGAUGGUUGCUCAAUUUUUAUAAUUGGGAGGAAAGUCCGGACUCAAUAGGACAAAGUGCCUCUUGAUGAGGGAGGACCCUGUAAAGGGAUGGAAAGUGCAACAGAAAGUAAACCGCCUAUAUUUAGGUAAGGGUGAAACGGUGGUGUAAGAGACCACCAGUCUAGGUAGUAAUAUUUAGAGCUGGUAAACCCCACUUUGAGCAAGAUCAAGUAGCUUUGUGUAGUCCUAACACAUAAGAGCGGGUAGAUCGCUAGUUAGUUUGAUUGUGAAAUCAAACCAAGAUAAAUAACCAUCAUUCAUUAUGAAUACAGAAUUCGGCUUAUAGACUGACCUA